rnacentral:rRNA from 1 species
AGAAUCAACGCUGGCGGCGUGCCUAACACAUGCAAGUCGAACGAGAAAGGGGUAGCAAUACCCUGAGUAAAGUGGCGCACGGGUGAGUAACACGUGACUAACCUACCCUGGAGUGGGGGAUAACUGAGGGAAACCUUAGCUAAUACCGCAUAAUACCUACGGGUCAAAGGAGCAAUUCGCUUUGGGAGGGGUCGCGGCCGAUUAGUUAGUUGGCGGGGUAAUGGCCCACCAAGACGAUGAUCGGUAUCCGGCCUGAGAGGGCGCACGGACACACUGGAACUGAAACACGGUCCAGACUCCUACGGGAGGCAGCAGUGGGGAAUUUUGCGCAAUGGGGGAAACCCUGACGCAGCAACGCCGCGUAGAGGAUGAAGUACUUCGGUACGUAAACUCCUUUCGAUCGGGACGAUUAUGACGGUACCGAGAGAAGAAGCCCCGGCUAACUUCGCGCCAGUAGCCGC